rnacentral:lncRNA from 1 species
GUCCUCAGUAUGAUAGAUCAAUAAGUACUUACAAUCAAAAUAACACCAUAACUAAUAAUUACAAAUUGAUAGAGCCUAGUAACUUGCAUAACUUUAAUACAUAGGUGUAUCUCAUGAUAAAAAUAACUUAAUAUUAACAUUUUAAAAAGGAAGGCUACAUAUGGUUUUCUUGUAAUGAUUAUCAUUUCCAUGAACCCAGUUCGUUCGGUUCAAAAUAAUUCAAAAUGUCUUCCCUUUAAUCUUUUAAUUUUUUUUUAUGUAUUCAGGCUAUGUACAUUUUUUCCUUGCAUUUAGUAUUCACAUUAAAAAAAUUUAGUACAUUUUCUCAAUUAUUGGAGAUACAAAAUAAUAUAGAGAUAUAACUUGACAACAAGCUUAAACAGUAAAAGACAAGAACAAAGACUACAUACAGAUGAAAUUAAAUAGCAAUUUAAAACAAAGUUUUGACAGUAAAUGUAACCUUGCUCUUACGCUCGUUGAUCUAUUGAUAACUGAUUUUUAAUUUUACCAGUUAUUUCCUAUUGUAAAUUGUGACAUUUUGACUGAAUGUAGAUUGGUAUGGCAGGUGCUGUAUGCAUUACAACAGAUGCCUACACUACCAACUAACGCAAUCCAGUUAGAGUUCAUACUAUUCCCUCAGUUAUUGUUAGUACCCUUGGCUUGUCUCUUUUUUAAUUGAUUUUACGAGAUUUUA